rnacentral:rRNA from 1 species
AGUGAACGCUGGCGGUAGGCCUAACACAUGCAAGUCGAACGGCAGCACAGUAAGAGCUUGCUCUUACGGGUGGCGACUGGCGGACGGGUGAGGAAUACAUCGGAAUCUACUUUUUCGUGGGGGAUAACGUAGGGAAACUUACGCUAAUACCGCAUACGACCUACGGGUGAAAGCAGGGGAUCUUCGGACCUUGCGCGAUUGAAUUAGCCGAUGUCGGAUUAGCUAGUUGGCGGGGUAAGGGCCCACCAAGGCGACGAUCCGUAGCUGGUCUGAGAGGAUGAUCAGCCACACUGGAACUGAGACACGGUCCAGACUCCUACGGGAGGCAGCAGUGGGGAAUAUUGGGCAAUGGGCGCAAGCCUGAUCCAGCCAUACCGCGUGGGUGAAGAAGGCCUUCGGGUUGUAAAGCCCUUUUGUUGGGAAAGAAAAGCAGCAGGUUAAUACCCCGCUGUUCUGACGGUACCCAAAGAAUAAGCACCGGCUAACUUCGUG